GAUGAAGAACGCAGCGAAAUGCGAUAAGUAGUGUGAAUUGCAGAAUUCAGUGAAUCAUGGAAUCUUUGAACGCACAUUGCGCCUUCUAGUAUUCUGGGAGGCAUGCCUGUUUGAGCGUCAUUAAACCUCUCUCAAGUAUGAUUACUUGGAUGUGAAGGAAGAGUACCUUAAACUUAAGGAGUGUUCUCCUUUGAAAUUGAUUAGCAGAUGGUAAUGUUAUUAAAUCCCUGAUGUUGUAAGAAAUAACAGUGGUUUUGUAGACUAUUAUCUAGCUUUAAAUUAUAAUUUUUAUUAUGGUUGACCUCAAAUCAGGUAAGGAUACCCGCUGAACUUAAGCAUAUCAAUAAGCGGAGGA
rnacentral:misc_RNA from 1 species